GACGAACGCUGGCGGCGUGCUUAACACAUGCAAGUCGAACGAUGAAGCCUUAGCUUGCUUUGGCGGAUUAGUGGCGAACGGGUGAGUAACACGUGAGCAACGUGCCCAGGACUCUGGAAUAACCGCGGGAAACCGUGGCUAAUAUCGGAUAGGUGAUGAUGACGCACGGUCUUCGGUUGGAAAGUUUUUGCGGUUUUGGAUAGUCUCAUGGGCUAUCAGCUCGUUGGUGGGGUAAUGGCCUACCAAGGGGGCGACGGGUAGCCGACCUGAGAAGGUGACCGGGCACACGGGGACUGAGACAGGGCCCAGUCGGCAACGGGAGGCAAAGGUGGGGAAUAUUACGGAAUGGGCGCAAGCCUGAUGCAGCAGCGCCGGGAGGGGAAUGACGGCUUUCGGGUUGUAAACCUCUUUGUAUAGAAAAAAAGCGGAAGUGACGGUACCUACAGAAAAAGCACCGGCUAACUACGUG
rnacentral:rRNA from 1 species